AAAAUCCUCUCAUCAUCUUGCAAUGUAUCUAACUUACAUAAUUCUCCUUCAAUAUUAUAUAAUCUUUUUCUUCCUUUUCUUUUAAAAUCAUCAACUUUCUUAUAAAUAAUAUUUCCAUUCUCCAAAAUAUCAAUAAAACUCGCAUCAAAGGCACCUUCAUCUUGCGAUAGUACCUCCUCUUUUGUACCUCCAUAAUCUCG
rnacentral:lncRNA from 1 species